AAGACUAUACUUUCAGAGAUCAUUUCUAUAGUUUGUAAAUAAACAACUUAAUCAAAAAUAUUAAUCUGC
rnacentral:snoRNA from 1 species